AUGGUGAUGAGUCCAAAGAAGAUGAUGGUGUGGACCAAGAUAGAGAUACCACUUGUUUGCAUGCUUCCAAAAGCUACCACCCUUCCCUUAGCAGGUAACUGGAAGAGUAGUCCUGGACUUAGUAGAACAAAUAGCACCACUGAUAUCACCACCGGACCCCAAUCAGCAGCCAUCACUUUGCACAAUUUGCUAGCUCCUUUUUUCAACAAAAUUUAA